ACAAUGAUACUUCCGCCCAGCCACAGUUCACACAAUGGGGGCGGCUCGGAGAGAUCCUCGGAGGAGUGCAAUUCUCAUGG
ncrna:unclassified sequences pemK RNA